rnacentral:rRNA from 1 species
GACGAACGCUGGCGGCGUGCUUAACACAUGCAAGUCGAACGGAAAGGCCCUGCUUGCAGGGUACUCGAGUGGCGAACGGGUGAGUAACUCGUGGGUGAUCUGCCCUGCACUUCGGGAUAAGCCUGGGAAACUGGGUCUAAUACCGGAUAGGAGCCAUUUUUAGCGUGAUGGUUGGAAAGUUUGUUCGGUGUAGGAUGAGCUCGCGGCCUAUCAGCUUGUUGGUGGGGUAAUGGCCUACCAAGGCGGCGACGGGUAGCCGGCCUGAGAGGGUGGACGGCCACAUUGGGACUGAGAUACGGCCCAGACUCCUACGGGAGGCAGCAGUGGGGAAUAUUGCACAAUGGGCGCAAGCCUGAUGCAGCGACGCCGCGUGGGGGAUGACGGCCUUCGGGUUGUAAACUCCUUUCGCUAGGGACGAAGCUUUUGUGACGGUACCUAGAUAAGAAGCACCGGCUAACUACGUG